UACGUAGGGGGCGAGCGUUGUCCGGAGUUACUGGGCGUAAAGGGCAUGCAGGCGGUCGGACGCGUUUUGUGUGACAGCGGGUGGCUCAACUACCCGAGCAUGUGAAAGACUGUCGGACUUGAGGACUCGAGAGGGACACGGAAUUCCGGGUGGAGUGGUGAAAUGCGUAGAGAUCCGGAGGAACACCGAAGGCGAAGGCAGUGUCCUGGCGAGUGACUGACGCUGAGGUGCGAAAGCCAGGGGAGCGAACGGG
rnacentral:rRNA from 1 species